GGUUGACCUCGGAUCAGGUAGGGAUACCCGCUGAACUUAAGCAUAUCAAUAAAGCGGAGGAAA
rnacentral:rRNA from 1 species